AGAGAUUUAAGUUAAAAAAACUGAUAGCCUUCAAAGCUUUAAUUGGCAACCAGUCAAUCCCUA
rnacentral:tRNA from 1 species